rnacentral:pre_miRNA from 1 species
GGUGGGAGCUCCGGAUCCUGGGCUGUGUCCCCCAGCGCUCUGAUCUCCGGGCCCUGCGCCGUUGGAAUUCCACUCCCUGGCCGCGCAGCCCACU